rnacentral:rRNA from 1 species
CCUACGGGAGGCAGCAGUGGGGGAUAUUGCACAAUGGGGGAAACCCUGAUGCAGCGACGCCGCGUGGGUGAAGAAGUAUUUCGGUAUGUAAAGCCCUAUCAGCAGGGAAGAAAGAAGACGGUACCUGACUAAGAAGCGCCGGCUAACUACGUGCCAGCAGCCGCGGUAAUACGUAGGGGGCGAGCGGUAUCCGGAUGCACUGGGUGUAAAGGGAGCGUAGACGGCCGUGCAAGCCAGGAGUGAAAGCGCGGGGCCCAACCCCGGGACUGCUGUUGAAACUGUGCGGCUGGAGUGCGGGAGGGGCAGGCGGAAUGCGUGGUGUAGCGGUGAAAUGCGUAGAUAUCAGGAGGAACACCGGCGGCGAAGGCGGCCUGCCGGACCGCGACUGACGCUGAGGCUCGAAAGCGUGGGGAGCGAACAGGAUUAGAUACCCCGGUAGUC